GUCAAAAAAAAAAGGGGGGAAAUCAGAUUUCAAAUUUGCAAUACUUGAGACAUCUCUCUAUAAAUACCAGUUGCAUUGGAGUACAAAUACUGCAGGUAUUUAUUUCUCUCUCUACACUCUUAAUGUUGCUUUUAUAUCUGCUUUCAUAUUCUUAUUUUCUUUUAUUUCGAAUUAUUACCAUCUUUAUUUUGGAGAUAAUAAGGUAUGUGAAUACUAUCUAAUACUUUUAUCUACAAAGCUUACAUUUUAUUGUUUUUUAGUUUGUUAUUUCUUUUUAUUGCUGUAUUUAUUUAUUAUUGCACCUAUUACACAUACAUGGAAUAAUUAACACAGAUACAUCCCUCUUUUGCAUCUUCUUCUCACACUGCACAAAGAAAAACAAAAAGAAGAUCAAAAUGAGAGGACAACAACAAUACAGAAUCAACAUGCAGUAGAAGACGAGCAAUAAAGAUAACUAACAAGAACUAUUGUUUACCAAAGAAUAGAAGAAGAAGAAGAGUAAAUUUCAAAACUAGAGAAGAAGAAUAAAAAGAAGAAGAAGAGAGAAUGAACAGUUCCAUUUUUAGAGGAAACGCAUAAAAAUAAAGGAUAGAUGAAUAAUAUGAACAAAAUGAUUAUUCUGUACAAAAUGUAUUUUCAAUUUAUUAACUUUUAUAUAAGAAGAUUACCAUUUUUUGAA